AGGAGCCCCAGAUUUGGGGAAUGAAUCCUACUGGAGCUCAAGUUCUCUCCAUGGGUUUGGUCCCAACCUCAUGGCUCCGGAGGUAAGGCUAAAGAGCAAUGUCUUGUUCUGCUCAUGUUGAAGAUUUUGUUCCUAGAGUCAGCACAAGGCCUUCAUACCUGGCUGAAAGGUGGAGAUGGACAAGGAGAUGGACUGGAAGGAUGAGAUCUGGGAACCACAAGGGCAAGCCUGUGUGAUGCAUUCCUCCUCCUCACCUUCCCCCUAUGAAGGGUGGGAAGAAGAACUUUGGAUAAAAGCCUUGCUCCAGGGCAAGAAAAAGACCCAAACUGCAACUUUACAUAAAUCUGUCACUUUGAUUCCCCUGAGAACAACUGCAAACUUGAAAAAUGGCAUAGCAAAGCAGGCACAGGUGUUAACUUCUCUUUUUUUAAUUGGAUAAAAAAAAAAGAAGUUGCUGUGAACAGCCUCCACAAUCUGCUUUCUUUCUCUCAGCUUUAAGCUUCAUUCGUUCUUCUAUGACUAUUAUUGUGUGGAUAAAAGUCUUAUUUGUAAAUCAGGAAAGAAACUGUAAUGGAGAAGUUGUCCUAUACCAGUAUCUGCUGUGAAACCCCCAUUAACCACCCUUUGCUGCUUCAGCUGUUUUAUUCUCUAGAUGGAACAAUUUGUGAGGGUGCUUUUGCUCUCACUCACUUUUGAAUGUAAAUGCAUCAAAGAUUUGCUCAGCUUGGCUUGGGGGUGGGAGGGCAGCCUCUGAAGAGACUCAGUUAUGUCUUUCACCCCAAGGUCAGCUUUGUAUCCUGCAUUAAAUUUGG